CCUAGCCUGUUCGGAAACGUGGGCGGUUGCAUCCGCGUUCCCAAACCAAAACCAUCACAGCCGCGCCCAUAUUCCGAAACGGGCACCAGAGUAAACAAGCAAUUUACCAUUUCUUUUCCUUGGUUUUACUGUAUAAAUACAGGGGUCUUGAAGACGACUUCAUGAAAGUGCAGCAAUACAAAUCCGAGGCAAGGAGAGCAUUGACAAAAGAAGGAUACCGCAUAUGGGGAAUCAUAGGAGAUCAGUGGAGCAGUGUGGAGGGACUCCCUGGUGCCAAAAGAACAUUCAAGUUGCCAAAUUCCAUGUACUACCUUUCCUAAAGCUUCCACUACCGACAUUAUUAUUCCAUAUGUUCAACCAGGCAUUGUCAUUGUUUAUCUGAUGAAAAAAACCAUGUUAAUCUAUGAUUUCUUUUUCUAAAAAAAAUCUCAGCUUCGAUCAGAUAUCUCAAAUAUCUCAGUAAAGGAAAUAUGCUUCAGAA
rnacentral:lncRNA from 1 species